rnacentral:ncRNA from 1 species
GGUCGGGGCGGCUGCCCCGGCUUCCACUAGCUCCGGUACCUGGUACGGCCGGGGAG